rnacentral:rRNA from 1 species
GACGUAGGGCGCGAGCGUUGUCCGGAUUUAUUGGGCGUAAAGAGCUCGUAGGCGGCUUGUCGCGUCGACUGUGAAAACCCGUGGCUCAACCAUGUGGUCUGCAGUCGAUACGGGCAGGCUAGAAUUCGGUAGGGGAGACUGGAAUUCCUGGUGUAGCGGUGAAAUGCGCAGAUAUCAGGAGGAACACCAGUGGCGAAGGCGGCUACCUGGACCGGUUCUGACACUGAGGAGCGAAAGCGUGGGGAGCGAGUCCGG